rnacentral:lncRNA from 1 species
CCACGCGUAAGGGAAAGACAAACAGGCUAAGAUGGCUUUGAGUACAGUCACUUUGGUCCUUAAACAUCAGGAUAUAUGGAGACUUUUGCAUGAUAGUCUCCCUGAGUGACACACAAUCUGAAGUGUACAGAUGCUUUGGAACGUGCGUGCAAAGUGUCUAACUUAAAAGCCAAUCUGUCAGUUAUUGUGCUUCUCUGAACUGCAAGCCUCGCCAGAACUGCCCCUAAUAAGCUUUUGUCAAAAUGCCUCUUUUACCACUUGCCUGAAACACAGUGAAUUGGACUCUCGCAUCUGACAGGAGAAGAUUUUGGAGCAUGGAGGGACAUCAAGUAGGAGAGAGCAGAAGCUGGGCAGGAGGCCGGCUACACAUCAGCAUGUGCAGAUGUAAUCAGAGUGAGGUUCAUCUGUACAAUCCAGAAAAGGAAUUUCUACAGAAAACCCAAAGGAAAUGGAAUUUAUCUCUCCGUAGCUAAAUACCUUGCAAGCUUUUGAGGAUGCUGUAAGUUUGGGAUGACAAAUAGAGAUUGGGCCCUCCAUUCAUAGUCACAAUGAACUUUUCAAUCAAACGAAAGAUGUAUGUGUGCAAUUCAACAGGGAUGGACGAUUUAUCAUGACUAUGUGAGUCCUGUAACAGAGACUACAAACUUCUCUUUUCUGACUAAAUCCUCGUGUUUUUAAUAACUUCAACCAUUAGGAAAAAUGGAUAAGAAUAAGAACCAAUGGAAAUAAAUUCUAAAUGUAGGCUUAAGUGAUCACUUUGAAGCUCUCUUUAGAAUUAAGGAGUUAAUAUCCCAGAAAUAUUUGAGUAUGUGUUCAAAUGAAAGUAUGUCCCCUGAAUGAAUUUUAGUUGUAGAAAUUUGGACUGAUGCCUCCUUUUGCUGAAUGGGGAAGGUGAUGAAUACUUCCCAGAAGCAGCCUCAAAAGAUUACUUUAUUUUAACCCUAAAAACUGCAAUGAAUUGUUUUGCAUUUUAUCUUAAUAAGAAAGAAAAAUACCCCAGAGUUUAUAUUUCUUCUGUAUCCACCCACAACAGGGACUCAUAAAUGCCUGCUAAUGAAAUUAAGGAGAACUAUGUGUUCAGGCACUAUUAGCCCUAAGCAGUGAAAAAUAAUUAAAUUAAAUACUUAAUGAGAUAAUUUUUUUCAACUUGGUUCUAAAAUGUUUAGGUUAUGAGAACAUUUUUGACCUUACUCUCUCUGCUUCAUUUGGACUGAAACUUUUGCAUUAUAUUUGCGCAGUGCAUGUCUGAUGAUGAUGAAAGCCAAAUAGUUUUGAGUAUUUCAACAACAGCAGGAACAGCAACAUACUUGUGGUGCAUGCUCCAUUUUUUAUUGUCAAUGCCUGUGAGCUAUUAUCAUACUAAAUCAGCAAUGUGAACUGAGAAGAUAAUCUUUAUCUUUGUCUUAUAGGCAAGAAACAAUGACUGCCUGGGAAUCUUUGAAUCCAGGGUAAAUUGUAG